UACGUAGGGGGCAAGCGGUUGUCCGGAUUUAUUGGGCGUAAAGAGCGUGUAGGCGGCCAUACAGGUCCGUUGUGAAAACUGGAGGCUUAAACCUCCAGACGUCGAUGGAAACCGUAUGGCUAGAGUCCGGAAGAGGAGAGUGGAAUUCCUGGUGUAGCGGUGAAAUGCGCAGAUAUCAGGAGGAACACCGGUGGCGAAGGCGGCAUCCUGGACCAAUUCUGACACUGAGGAGCGAAAGCCAGGGGAGCAAACGGG
rnacentral:rRNA from 1 species